GCGGGCGUAGUUCAGUGGUAGAAUGUCUCGUUGCCAACGAGAAGGUCGCCGGUUCAAGUCCGGUCGCCCGCU
rnacentral:tRNA from 1 species